rnacentral:rRNA from 1 species
UACGUAGGGUGCAAGCGUUAAUCGGAAUUACUGGGCGUAAAGCGUGCGCAGGCGGUUGUGCAAGACAGGUGUGAAAUCCCCCGGGCUUAACCUGGGAACUGCACUUGUGACUGCACGGCUGGAGUACGGCAGAGGGGGAUGGAAUUCCGCGUGUAGCAGUGAAAUGCGUAGAUAUGCGGAGGAACACCGAUGGCGAAGGCAGUCCCCUGGGCCUGUACUGACGCUCAUGCACGAAAGCGUGGGAGCAAACAGG